CAAGGAGCUGAGUUUUGAGUUCAGGUGCCCGCGUGGCAGUGGAAUGAUGCUUCCUGACCUUUCAGACCUUUGAGACCUCUGGGCGGUCUUAGACUUCACCUGGAGCCUCCUGUCCAGGAUGCGACCACCUAGGGGAAUUCCAGGGAAAGGUGGCAGAGAUAUCAUGGACUGAAAGGUGAUGGGUACCCCAAUGAGCUCACUACAAGAUCUCAAAGAUUCCAAGCCACUGGCUGCUCCAAAGCAUAAAGCCACCCUUCUGGAGAGGCGGCAGGAAGGAAGCCUGGAGGAGGCUCCACUUUUGGCCAGAGGACAGACCACCUUCUUAGGUCUCUGGGAGAACUGCUGAAGGACAGUGAGGGAGAUGUUGCUGGUCCCCAGGACAGAAACCCAGCAGCUGGAACCAAGAAGCACCUGGAGUGGGACUCAAGCCCAGCACCCCUUCAGACUGAAGCUCUCUGAGCUGCGUGUGGUUCCCGACUGGACUGUUUUUGCUUUGCCGUCACCUGCGUAACACAGUUCUGGAUGCUUUUGAAUGGUUGGCUUUCUUUCCUUUUUUUCCCCCUCUGUCUUUUCUUUUUUCUUCUCUUGGCCCUGAGAAUUGUAAGAAAAGAAUUGCUUUAGAAAGUAUAAUUCUGUUGCUGAAAUUAGCCUUCUUUAUGAACAAAUUCUGUCCCUAAGGAUUUUCUGAAUUGCAAUCCCAGGUUACUUGGUAGAUGGGGCUGUAUGAUUUGAUUUGUGUAGUACUGAUCCUUAGAUUAAAAAUACAUUUUCUUUCUUUGUUUUUUUUUUUUUUCUUUCAAGUUUUGGAUCCAGGUAAUGGCCCGAGUCACAUUUGCUUAGCUACUGAAGCGAUCUCAAUGUGGUAUCGCUUGGAGUUGAAAUAUAAUCAAACAUAUAUUAUACCUGGGGCUCUUGCACGCUAUAUGGUAUAUAUGUUAUGCUACAAAGAAACACAAACCUUGUAGGUUGAAAUUUAAUUCCUGUCUGAUCCUGCAGUUAGAAUGGUGGAAAAAUUAUAAAUAUCAAAAGCGGCUUCAAACACCCUGAAUGUAAGCUAACCAACAAUAAGUGGACAGUUUGGAAAUGCUGUUUUCCAAGGCAAAGCAGGAAUUGGAGAUCAGCUGACCUUGUCAACAGGGUUGCUCAGGUCUGUCUGUCUGUGGAUCUGCUCAUUUUGGAGGAAUCCGAGGACAAGGCCUGCUUCUAUGUUUGGGUUUAUGGAAAUUGUGGCAUCUCUGACUGAAUGCUCUGUAACUGUGCCUGCCUUGCAAUAAAACACCUUUGGUUGAC